UUUCAGGCGGCCUCCUGAGAAAUGUUUGCAAUUGUAAGGCGUCUCUCUCAUCCAGGUUUACCCAGAUUCGCAAACUAUGGCGACAAACAACCAUAGCAGAAGCAUGUCCGGAUUAUUUCACAUAUAUCACAAAAUCCUGCAAAGGGUCUGUCCCCAUUGGAUCACCUCCCAUCACGCCACACACGACGUGAAUGACUUCGUGCUUCUCCAUACCUGCAUUGAUCUCUGGGUCCAUUGCCAGUUAUAAACCUCCAAGGGCAAUAGCCAUGAGGUGAUGUACAGUCAAGCAUCACUUAAUAACCAGGAUACAUUCUGAGAAAUUUGUCGUUAGGCAAUUUUUUCAUUGCACGAACCUCACAGAGUGUACUUACACUAACCUAGAUAGUAGCAUCCAGUAAACACCUGGGCUAUAUGGUCUAGCCUAUUGCUCCUAGGCUACAAACCUGUAUAGCAUGUUACUGUACUGAAUAUGUAGGCACUUGUAACACAAUGGUAAGUGUUUUUGUAUCUAAACAUAUCUAAACAUAGGAGAGGUAAUGCAUUGUGCUACAGCAUUACAAUGGCUAUGACAGACACUAGGCAAUAGGAAUUUUCCAGCUCCAUUAUAAUCUUAAGGGACCACCAUGGCACAUGCAGCCCAUUGUUGACCAAAAGUUGUUAUGUGGUGAAUGACUAUAAUUGGCUUUUCAGAGCAACCACUCACAAGGGGGUGUAGUAUAGCUUACUAGACAAAACUGCAGCCGCUGCUCUGUUUUUUGCUCUUAGAAAACUGAGUACCUGAUUUGGACAAAAUCAUAAUAAAAUUUAGAUAGAGCCAACAUUUGUCCUCUGGAAGUUUCUGACAAGAUACAAGUCACCGUUAUAAUAGUCAAAUGUCAAAGUGGUAUAUCUAACAAAAUUAAAACAGACAGCUAGGAGUGAGAAGAUUUAAGAAAAUUCAGGUGGCCCAAAGGAAAGCCAAGACAAGACAUUCUCUCCCGGCCUUUGGGCCUGGAUUUUCAUUUCAGCAGGUAACGAGGAGACCAAAGGCCUAGUUAUUUAUGGAGAUCUGGGGCCACAGCAGAGCUCCUCAUGGCAGGAUAAGGCAGUGGAAAGCAGACUCAACGGUUAACCCACAGUCCUCCUCAGCAAGCUGGGAGAAGCAACUGAUGCCACUUAGAUGCUUAGACCGGGCCUUCUGGGAGAGAUCUGGCCCAAGGAGCAGCCGGCAGCUUGACACAGUGACCAAUUGGAAGCACAGCAGCCACACGCCAUGAAACAAGGUGAUCAUCUUCACUCAUUUCCUGAGGCCAGAGCCUUCCUUACGCAGGACAUGGAUACCCCAGUCCCAGCUGUGCUGAAGCGUCAGGAAGCCUCCCCCGACCCCACCCUGAACAACAGUGAGGGGGGUUAGGUGUCCUCAAAAGAUCUACUCUGUCAACUGGAGUUGUUGAGAAACUCAGGAAAGGGAACUAAAAAGGAUAAGAAAGUGGUGCAUUCCAGUGUCUUCCUGUUCUCUGUUGCAGAGAGCCAGCUGGUGGACCGCAGAGACAGACUUCCAGCCAGGGCCAAGCCCUUCAGGAAGGGAGUCAUGCACCAAACUCAGCUAACAGACCACCAGGGCACCACUGGGUCUCCUGCUGGGGAACAGCACACCUAUGGGUGGGCUCUAGGGGUGGGGUGGCCUGGUUGCUGGUUCUGCUCUGCCACUUCUUAGCUGGACUUGAGCAAUUUGUAACAUUUCUUGGCUCAGUUUCUCCACCUGCACAAUCAAAAUAUCACUACCUUCCUCCAAGA
rnacentral:lncRNA from 1 species